UCUAGCCUAACUGCCAUCAGAUGAAUUCAUCUCACCCUGCCUAGGGGUUAGCUGAGAGUUUGGUGUUAUUGAGUCACAGCUUAGAUGCUGAUAGCUGUACGGAGCUCAUUGUGUAUGCUUUUCCUCCAUGUUUGUUAGAUCCUGGUACACCUAAAGCCAAUUCAAAGACAAAGCAGCUAGCCAUCUUCGCACACCUUCUGGCCACCUUCUCAAUGCAGAAUGAAAUGAAACUGGCAUCUGGCAGCGAAUCGAGGGAGCACAAAUAAAUGAAUUUGGGCCUGCUACAUUGCUCUUGGAGUCUGCAUCAACAUGAAGUAUGAGCCACCCGCUCUCCCUGGAAGCUGUGUUCAGAUCAUGCUGUUCUAAUAUCAUCAGCUAUCUCAGUGGCUGAAGAAGGAUUCUAUUCAACAUGAUGAACAAAGAC